CCAAUGAGCCGCUGGAUCUCCCAGUUAGGAGGCCGGGGCCGCCGGAUCCGGUGACCCCGGUCUCCUCGCCGGCGGAUCCGGCACCCAGA
rfam:Oryza sativa (indica cultivar-group) chromosome 10, whole genome shotgun sequence.